UACGGGAAGGGGCUAGCGUUGCUCGGAAUCGACUGGGCGUAAAGGGUGCGUAGGCGGGUUUUAAGUCAGAGGAUGAAAUCCCUGGAGGCUCAACUCCAGAACUGCCUUUGAUACUGAGAAUCUUGAGUGAUGGGAGAGGUGAGUGGAACUGCGAAGUGUAGAGGUGAAAUUCGUAGAUAUCGCAAGAACACCAGUGGCGAAGGCGGCUCACUGGCCCAUAACUGACGCUGAGGCACGAAAGCGUGGGGAGCAAACAGGG
rnacentral:rRNA from 1 species